rnacentral:rRNA from 1 species
AUUGAACGCUGGCGGCAGGCCUAACACAUGCAAGUCGAGCGAGCGGCGGACGGGUGAGUAAUGUAUGGGGACUGCCCGUUAGAGGGGGAGUACUACUGGAAACGGUGGCUAAUACCGCAUACUGUGGAAUGAACCAUAUGGGAUUAGCUGGUGGGUAAGGUAAUGGCUUACCUAGGCGACGAUCCCUAGCGGGCCUGAGAGGAUGAUCAGCCACACUGGGACUGAGACACGGCCCAGAUUCCUACGGAGGCAGCAGUGGGGAAUAUUGCACAAUGGGCGCAAGCCUGAUGCAGCCAUGCCGCGUGUAUGAUGAAGGCCUUAGGGUUGUAAAGUACUUUCAGUCGGGAGGCGUUACCGACAGAAGAAGCCCCGGCUAACUCCGUGCCAGCAGCCGCGGUAAUAC